rnacentral:misc_RNA from 1 species
ACAACAAUAGCACAUGGCAACCGCUAGCAGACGACGUAUGAUUCAAAUUUGUUGAUAUGGAUAAGAUUAAGUUUAAACUACAAUAAGUAUCUUAAGAAGGCCAUUUUAUUUUUUAAAUGAAUCUUAAUAAUGGCUGACUUGGCUAUGAAACAGAUGUGCCCUAGGCGUCAAUGCAUUUGCCCCAUCUGAAAAAUAAGACAAUUCGUCUGCUUGAGCCGUUUGCGACCGUGUGGUGGAUGCUAAUGGAUGUCACUGAGGACAUGGGUCUUGCUUCAAGUUCCACAAGAAAAAUCCCCACUCUCCCGCAAAUAUCAAUAUCUCCGUCCAAACAAGUGCUGCAAAAAAUACGAGCUGCAUACAUUGACGGCAGAAUUGAUAAUGAGCCAACGCAAAUAGACGAAUCAUCACCAGCAGUGCUGAAGUACAGAACGCCAAAUUUUAGGGCCACAGCAACGAUUGAAAUGUCCCCAAGCGAUGAAACGGAAACGUGGAAAGUGGGCUGGAUCCAAGCUUGUACAGAUAUGCUGUUCCAUAACCAGUACAAGGAUGAGGGCUACACAAGCUGGGAAUUUCCUGAGCUCAUAAGUGGGAAGCAGUCAAUGAUCAGCGACUGUGAUGGGCGACAUUAUCCGUGGUAUGGGUCUCGGAACGAAACGGUCAUCUUUGAAACGCCAUGUAGUUCGUACCAGCGGGCCACGGUGACCAUGAAUGACAACUUCCACCCCCACGUCACAUGGCGCAAUCCUGCCAACCGAAACCAAGUGGAGCCCAACCUCUCUCACAUCGUUCGCGACCAGAGCUUCUACGUCUGGCUAGUUGUGUGGAACAUGACCACCAUGAAGUCCUACAUUCUGCAGACGAUAAGGUGGACAAUGAAGCUGGAAAUCGAGGUGAACCCUAAGGCAGAGCUUGGCAAGCGGGCUCGGUUGAUCAGCGAUCCAAAGCCAAUUCAGCCAGUGCUGCUGGAAAAGAACGUUCCAAUACCCCACUGUGCUCUUGUUCCGCCGAACGCCAACAGUGCACAGAUGCUCGUGUGGCACCCGAACAAAGGCAAAUGUGUGUGCAUCAUUCCACCGGUUUGGAAUGCGGAAGAACGCGAAACGAGAAUUGAAAGCAAACUGUGAUAUAUAUACAUAUAAGCAUGUCUUUCAAACUAUUGAUGAUAAAAAUGGCAGCGAUAUGGAUGCGAGGAUAUGGGUGAUUUACCGAAACCGUUGAUGCACGAUUGCCACGCAGCUUUCACUUGCUUGUGCUAUUCCAAAAAAAAAGGUUUCAGUUUUGACUACAAUGGAUACCAUGUUAUAUCCUGCAUAUUGUAAGGUUAUAUCCUGUAUAUUGUAAGGUAUUAAGCAUUGUUAAUCAAGUAUUGUAUUCUGGACAGUGGAUAUUAAAAAAUAUAUUUUAGUGCCAUAUCUUAGUGUCGUACAUUAUAACUUAGUAACUGUAAUUUAAUGCUUCUACUAUUUAUCGUUUGGUGCAUACUACACUUUUAUUUCAUAUAAAUGCACAUAUCUACAUUAUGUACAGCUAUUUAUUUUUAAUGUGUGGUAUCUUAAUGUUUAGAUAUAUAUUGAUGAAUUUGUGAUAUAUGCAGGACAUACCGAUUACUUCUAUUUUUGUACAUUUUGUUGCAACUUGUUUGUUACUUUUUAUUAUUGCUUUCAUAUAAAAUGAAAUAAAUCAUGAAUAUUACAAA